UGGGGAAUAUUGGACAAUGGGCGCAAGCCUGAUCCAGCCAUGCCGCGUGUGUGAAGAAGGCCUUUUGGUCGUAAAGCACUUUAAGCGAGGAGGAGGCUACUUGGAUUAAUACUCUAGGAUAGUGGACGUUACUCGCAGAAUAAGCACCGGCUAACUCUGUGCCAGCAGCCGCGGUAAUACAGAGGGUGCGAGCGUUAAUCGGAUUUACUGGGCGUAAAGCGUGCGUAGGCGGCUUCUUAAGUCGGAUGUGAAAUCCCUGAGCUUAACUUAGGAAUUGCAUUCGAUACUGGGAAGCUAGAGUAUGGGAGAGGAUGGUAGAAUUCCAGGUGUAGCGGUGAAAUGCGUAGAGAACUGGAGGCAUACCGAUGGCGAAGGCAGCCAUCUGGCCUAAUACUGACGCUGAGGUACGAAAGCAUGGGGAGCAAACAGG
rnacentral:rRNA from 1 species